rnacentral:rRNA from 1 species
GAUGAACGCUGGCGGCGUGUCUAAGGCAUGCAAGUCGAACGGACUGUUAUUUGUAGCAAUACUUAGAACAGUUAGUGGCAAACGGGUGCGUAACACAUUGGUAACUUGCCUCAAAGUCGGGCAUAAUCCCGCGAAAGUGGGACUAAUUCCACGAUAGUCAUCGAAGGUGAGAUUCCUUCGAUGUAAAGUCGCAAGACGCUUUGAGAGGGGCCUAUGGCCUAUCAGCUUGUUGGUGAGGUAACGGCUCACCAAGGCUAUGACGGGUAGGGGGUGUGAGAGCACGACCCCCCUCCACUGGGACGUGAGACACUGCCCACGACACCUACGGGUGGGCUGCAGUCGAGAAUAUUCCCCAACUAGGCCGAAAGGACUGAGGGAGGCGACGCCGCGUGCAGGAAGUAA